rfam:Clostridium celatum DSM 1785 genomic scaffold Scfld521, whole genome shotgun sequence.
UAAAGUUAGGUCUGUGGAUGAAAGUCGAUGCCAGUCGCAGGCGAAACGAUCCACGUAAGUUAAACAAAGUUUUAAUGAGCAUGGUGCGGUAUAGAAGUAAGCCCUGCCAGUAGAGAUACUGAGAGUGUUAGUAGUGAGAGGUUAAUUCCGGGUAGCAAAAGCUCCAGCAGGCGAGUGUGGGGUCAAAAUCCAGGUCAGCUAACUUUA